AGUGAACGCUGGCGGUAGGCCUAACACAUGCAAGUCGAACGGCAGCACAGUAAGAGCUUGCUCUUACGGGUGGCGAGUGGCGGACGGGUGAGGAAUACAUCGGAAUCUACUUUUUCGUGGGGGAUAACGUAGGGAAACUUACGCUAAUACCGCAUACGACCUACGGGUGAAAGCAGGGGAUCUUCGGACCUUGCGCGAUUGAAUGAGCCGACGUCGGAUUAGCUAGUUGGCGGGGUAAAGGCCCACCAAGGCGACGAUCCGUAGCUGGUCUGAGAGGAUGAUCAGCCACACUGGAACUGAGACACGGUCCAGACUCCUACGGGAGGCAGCAGUGGGGAAUAUUGGACAAUGGGCGCAAGCCUGAUCCAGCCAUACCGCGUGAGUGAAGAAGGCCUUCGGGUUGUAAAGCCCUUUUGUUGGGAAAGAAAAGCAGCAGGUUAAUACCCCGCUGUUCUGACGGUACCCAAAGAAUAAGCACCGGCUAACUUCGUG
rnacentral:rRNA from 1 species